UGCAGGCAAAAUCAUUGAAUCCAGAGAAUAGACUGCGACAUAAAGGUGUAAGUACUGCUUCAAUAUUUUUUUUUACUGCAAGCUUAUUAACAUAUAUGACAACCUACUGUCUCAUUAUGUACUACGUGUGAAUGUACUUACGUAUGUAUGCAUACAUUUUGUGGCUUAAGCCACAAAAAUGGCGAUUAAAUGUGAGUUACCUCGCCCGUCCAUGACUUUCAGGUGUUUGAACAUUCGUUGCUUCGAGAGAGAUUAUACUCCGUCACACCAUUUCGCCGCCUACCUGCAAUUAAACCUGUACUGUGCCUUACGUUUAUGUCCUUGAUAACGUUCAUUACACUAGUGCUACUUCUACUUCCCAUUUGACUACACACGCAUACCUACGCACGCACACACACACACACACACACACACACACACACACACACACACACACACAGAAACACACAUUUAUAUAUAUGUACAGGAAAGAUCCAAGAAUCAAGGAGUAAGAAAUUAGUGAGCUUCAAGUAAUCUGCAGAAUAUGUAAAAAAAAAAAAAACAACUUUGAGGAACAAUAGUGGUUUAUUGGAGCAGAAAGUUGUGAAUUUUUCUUGUAUCGAAGUACGAUGAGUUGAAAAAAGUUAAUUUCAUAAUAUACAGUCAGCAACAAGGGUUGUUGUACUUGCGAAUAAACUUACAAAAAUUAGGGAAUGGAAUAAAUAAAAUCUAGGCUACAUAUGUUUCAUAGCUAGUGGAACCUUGGAAGUAGAAAAUUAUCCAAACGACGGGAGACUGCAAGCUACUUUACAGGCCAAGGACACCGUGAUUAUAUGAAGUUUAUUUUGUCGAUAGAAGAUCCCGUGUUAAUUCGUUGGGGAUUCCAUCAAAAUGCGUAGAAAAUAUAGAUCGAGUGGUGGAAAGCAUAGUUUGAAGAAGUAACAAUAACAUAAAAAAUAUAUAUGGGAGUAGGUAAGUUUGUUACGGAGAAGAAUAUAAGUAAAGUUAGACGGCUGGGGAGAGAAGGAUUGACGUUGAAAUUGGCUGGAGAGAUGCGUUUAUAAAUUCAUGCUGCAGCCAUUCACGGAUCUGUUGUGGGAUACAUAAGUAAACAUAUUGUAGCAUUCGAUAAAGCCAUUUAAAAAAGAUAUAGGAUGAUGAAAUGGAUAGGAUGGGCGAGGUGAUGGAAAGAGAGGUGGAAGAUACUAUAUUUUCUCUCGAAAAUAUUAGACUUAGUGUAGCUACUCGAGUUGGUAGUAGUAAUUCAAUUUUAAAAUCUAGGGACGGCGAAUGAAGUUCAAGAAGGUAGUAGUAGUAGCUUAAAUCUGGGAUUAUGUGAGAAGAUAUUAGCGUGCAUAAGCGUAUAUGAUAUGUGUCUGUAGAAUCCAAUAGCUGUGUACGCGUGCGACGGUAGUUGUAUAUUAUCAUGUGCGGAUGGGAUGUGUGCGGAGAACUUAAAGAAUGAGAACUUAAAGUAUAUAGGAUAAGGAAAACAGGUGGCGAAUAUAAAAAAAAAAUGAAAACUAAAAAGAAUCGGAAAUAUAAAGGUGCUUAAAAAUAUGUUUGUUGAGAUGUAGAGGUAUAUAUAUUUCCUCGACUGAAUGUGUUUUUUUAGUUUCCUUGGAUACUACAUUUUAACAUAGUUUGAUUUUAGAACCGUUCUUGGUAAGGUGUUUUGACAUGUUUAUGUUCAAUUUUCUAUUAAGACACUCCUGUUUAUCCUUUUAUGAUACGAUUAAUAAUUUCACUGUUGAAGGAGCGACACAUUAAUAAAUCAAUGUUCGAGAGGAUUAUCAAUAGCAUACUGAUAAUCUCGAAAAUGAUUUCAUUAUCAUAUAAUCCCUUUUCACAUCAUAUAACAUCCGGAUUUGUACUGACGUAAACAUUGAAAUGUAUGAAUCACAUUUCUCUGGAAAUAUAAUUUGAAAUCAUUCAUACACACACACACACACACACACGCACACACACACACACACACACACACACACACACACACACAAACACACACACAUACACACACACACACACAUACAAGGAGCGUGCAUGCAACCACACAAACACACUCGCGCCCGCGGCAGAAAUAUAUAUACGCCAUUAAAGUGACAAGAGGCACUAAUCAGCAUUAGUAUUCCUAGAAAUAAGUGUCAAAACAAUUACGGCAGCAGAUAUUGCCAGAUCAUAGAUGAUUUUGAUGCUCAUCGCUCGCUCUCACCACGCCUAUAGCUAAUGUCAGUUCGCCUUGUCAGUUUAUAAGAUUUUCGUUGAACCCGUACGGUGAUUUCAUAAACGGUGAAAGGGAAAAUCAUAAAUAAUAUGGGUGGCUAAUUCGUAACUUUACAACCUAAAGGCAAAAAUAUAUAUACGUCGCUAAAGUAACAAAGGGCAAUAAUCUGCCCUAGUAUUGCUAGAAAGAAGAGUCAACACGACUCAAUAGUCAUGGAAGUACUAUCUUAAUGACUGAGAAGAGAUAUAGCCAUACCAUCGAUGAUUUCUCAUUUUGAUGCUUAUGCAUCUUAAUGUUCAUCGGUGGCUGUCGCACCUAGGGUUAAACUCAGCUCGCUUUGUCGGUUUAUAAGAUUUCUGUUGAAAUCAUACGCUGAUUUCUCUAUCUAUGUGUAUGUAUAGACACUGUCAUGAGGGCGUGUGUGUGUGUUAAAAGUUAAAGAAAAUGAUUAAAAGAUAUUGUAGAAUGAAAUAUAAGCAUGCACGUCGUGAGAAGAUAACGCAUGUAGAAAUUUAAAAGGGAAAUAGCGUGCUGAUAUAUGUAAAAUAUUUCUCAAAGCCAUUUUAUUUCAAAUGAGUGUAUGCUAUGUCUCCAGACAUAUUACACGUUCCAUUGGGGAAUUACUAAUGAGUAUAUGAUGAUAUCUUUCGCUUCGAAAUAUAGAAUUGCUUAUCUCAAGCGAAGCGGAUAAUCGAUAAGAUAUCAUUAUACUAUAUAAUAGAAUCUUUUCUAAUUGCUGUUUUUAUUUAGAAUAAGAGAUGAAAUUACUUUCAAAUCCAAAUAAAAUAUAUUACGCAUUAUUACUAUUCAUUUAUUUCUUACUUUUAUCACAGUUAUUGUUUAGCUCUAUAUAUUAGUCGUGAUCACGCUCUGCAUUUUCUAAUGUGUUCAUUUAUUUUUAAGACGGUCAAGUGUGAUUUGAAGAAAUUUGGUUGCUAUUGCUACGAAAUUGAACGACUGCGAAGAAAGUCACUCGUUAUGAAGCUUCACAUUUUAAGAAGAGUGUGAGACAAUUGCUUGGCCUUAAUAAGGAAUCAUUUGAUCACAAUUUAGAUCUUGACGAGGACCUGUAUAAAUGCCAAAAUCGUCCUCGGCAGGUUUCCUUUGAACAUGAGGAAACACGGUCUUUAGUCAUUUUCUCACUCACGGGACGAGUAUUAUUAACCAUGUUGCAGCUCUUACCAUUUUAGAAUCUUGAUGUUUUAUUCAAAAAAGAAAAAAAAGAAAAAAAGAACAAAGACAAAGGAAACUUCUUUUUUUUUUAACUUUAUGAGGCUUUCGAUACAUCAGAAUAUGUCUUGGUAAAGAAUCGUUAGAUUCAUUACCCGGGUUGUAUUUUCCGACUCAGGAGAAUAUAAACAAAUAUUAUUAUGUGAUACAGUAGUGUUAAUAUAUGUGGAUGAUAUGAUUUAAUUACAGAUGUGAUGGAUAUCGUGUCUUUUCUAUGAAAAUGGCACGACCUCCUUCACUAAUGAAAAUAGCUCCGACAAUCGAAACAGCUAGCAUAGUGUUAACCGGACAUGUUUUAUUAGAUGAAGUGUAACUUGAAACUAAAAAUGUCGAGGUGCCGGUGAUGCCUGGGGACAAAAUAACUAUAUCAAUCACAACUAAUUGAAAAGCUUCCUCUUUUCGUUCUAUGUUAGUGAAUAAUGAAAUAUUAUCCUACGUCUAGGAACGUGUAGAUAAGAAUGAAACAAAUCGGUUUGAUGCAAAAUAAACGUACUGGCCUUGAAUAGAAAGACAAUAUGAAAACAGCAGUAACACUCAGAGUAAUAAAUUUCCAAAGAACCCAGCCAGCAGGAAAAAAAAAACAAACUAAUAACUAAGCACUAAAGGAAUUAACAUAUUAAACAGAAACUAACACAGAUAUUGGCUUCAAAUUUUGGCACAAGAGCAGCGAGUUACUGGUACUUAUUUUAUCGAUCUUGAAACGCUGAAAGGCACAAUAGACAUCGGGGGAAUUAGAACACAGAGCGUAUUAGGCGGACGAAAUAACGAUAAACAUUUCGCCCGGCGUGCUAACAGUACUACCAGCUCGCUGCCUUGAAUAAUAUUAACAUCAAUAGGAGAAUAAGAAAAGUUAUCAAAUUGGUUUGGCGCUAUCAGAAGCGCUGCACCGAAUUAUACUUGAAUUCAAGAAUGACCUAGCAAUCGGAUAAUAUAUUUUAAUUUAACAUUUUACCACCUUUAGGAAUUUAAGUUUGAUCCUGAAUGACAAUAAAAUUGCUUUUUGAAUAAGAACAGGUGUCUACUUUAGAAAUGGGAUCAUGUUCCUUUUUAUUUUCUAUCACAAUUUGAUUGCAACAGAGCAUUAGUUGCAGAUUUCCUCGGUUCUUUUACUAGAAUGAUAAUGUUUAGUGAAGUGGCUAUAAAAUAUCAUUUAAACCAGAAACCAACAGAGAUUAAAAAGAAUAUACAAAAUAAAUUAUGUUUUGUUUGUUAAAUGGAAACACUGCAUUUUCGUAAUUUUGAUAAUUUUAAAAUUUCAAAAUCUAUUAAUUUUAUAAUUUUUAACGAAAGCACUGAUUUGGGUAAUGAGGAUAACUUUUAUUUUCUGGAAUGCUAUACUAAUUUUUUAAUGAAAUACUAACUUAAUAUUGAAUGUGAUUACGGAGACAUUUGAUAUAAGAAAGGUUAAUGUAAAUUAGAAUUGAGACAAAUGUAUUAUUUAACUGUCUAAUAUAACGAAGUUUAAUGUAUUAAAUCUUAAUAGAAAAUUUAAAGAUGCCUUCGUCUACCUUUUCUAUUUCUGAAGAAGUGGUUUGCUCGAAACGUUAAACCAUAUUUAUUUCCUUCCUUGAGCGUCUGAUGAUACUUUACAUGAACCACGUCCUGAUAUUGCUGUCAUUGUUUUGUGUUUGUCCUUGGUUUUAUAUAUAUAUAUAUAUAUAUAUAUAUAUAUAUAUAUAUAUAUAUAUAGGAGGAUACCCCAUUCGGUCAUGGAUGACCAUAGGACUGCAUUUAGAAAGUUACCCACCGAGGCACAAGUCAGGACAUGAUUGUUUGUGGAAAACCAGCAGUCGCCAAUGCAUACCACCUUCCCCCCUAAACGCCACUGAUGUUAUCCAAGGGAAAGGCAAAGGCAGAUACAGCUUGGUACCAGUGAUGCCGCAACUAAUUUCUACUGCUGAGUUAACUGAAGCAACGUGUCUUGCGCAAGGACACAACACACAACCUCAUGAUCGUAAGCUCUACGCUCUAACCACUGAGCCAUGCGCCUUUACACAUAUAUAUAUAUGAGUGUGUGUGUGUGUAUGUGAGAAAGAAGAGGGGUAGGCAGAGUCCGUAUGAGUGCAUAAGUGUAGUUUUCUUCAUAUUUAUAAAGUAAUAAUGCAUUAAGACAUAUUUCAUAAGCGAUUUAAUUUUCAGUCGGAUGACAAAAUCGCAAAUUAAAUGCCAUCUUAUUACAAAUGCAUACAAGGUCACAUAUAUAAAUGCCUCUUGCUUUAAAUCUGAUUUCCAUAAACGAUUGCACUAUCCACUCUAAUCUAACACCAACGUAAAUCUAAUUAUUUCUAUAUAGUUGUCCACACAUACUUCAACGAAAAUUUGUCUGCUCGACCUAUUAGCAGACUAAUAGCAUACAAACUAUUUCUUACGCAAUCGUCUUAAAAAUUUGAAAGCAACUUAAUUAGGAAAUAAAUUUUUAGAUAUUCUGUAUCUAAGGAAAUAACAAGUCGAUUAUAACUGGAAUUCAUUCGAUUAUAGAUUUGCUAAAUUAGAGACGAAUUUGUCCGAGGCUAAAUUAGCAAAUUAAUGUUUUCAAAACUAUAAAGCGACUUGAAUGAAUCUCUAUACUCUCAUUUAAUAUGCAAGAAAAGGAGGCUGAAUCAAGUAUUCUUUAAGAAAAAAUACAUCACAUAAUGCAGUUGGCGCUGUAUGGAAAUUGAAAUCGGCUUAGCGUUUACUGAUUAGCACGAAUGAUUAGUCUAGCAAAUUACGAUUAAGAAGUGACGAAACAGAGGAAAAAGAAAAAACGGCAACAAUUUUAAAAUGUCGCCGAGGAGUGUUGUAUUGAUCUCUAAAACAAUAUAGCAUAUAUUGGUAGGUAUUGAGUCCAUUUGUAACGGAUUGUAGAGUCUCCUGACUAUCAGAUGAUACAUUCUCGCAGAUGCAUGAGCUGCUCAUUAAAUACGGAAACACUAACACGAUAUUCAGUACCACAAGAAAUUGCACGAAAUUGCAAUUAAUAAGUUAAUUCACUGCUUACGGAAAGUGAAAUGUUCAGAAGAUGCCAAGACGAAACAUUAAAGUAAAGAUGUGCAUUACAAAGAGUACAAAUACGUCAUAUGUUAUGUAUUCUGAACAUUAAAUUAAUUACGAGGUGUUUAAAUAUCAACAAAAAUGCGAAAGCAAUGCAUAGAUAUCUAGAAAUGUGCAUAGAUACUGAAAUAUACAAUGUGAAAAUGAGAAUUAUUAUCAUAAUAUUUCUUUCACAUUCAGCGCAAACAGUAUCAACUUACUCAACUUACUCGUUAUGUGAAACUUAGCCACAUAUCUGCAGAAUUUAUAUUACAUGAAAACUGUCAUAUAUUUCUGUCAAAACGAAACACUUGAUUAUACAAUAACUGUUUGAUUGUGAAGAAAGAUUUACGACUUUUCAACCGAAAUAUACAUUUUCGCAAAGCAAUACCAGAACACACGCUGUAAAUUUCGACUGUAUAUAACUUUUCUGUUAUUUUUCAACCCCUAAAAGUGUCAGAUCUAUUAUGUUUGCACCUGUUACAAUUUUUGAAAGCAGUGUUCCAUCAGUAUUUCUUGUGCUGGUACGUAUGCAUGCAUUGCAUAGCAAGGGGGAUGUGUAUAUAUCCCAGACAGUUUGAUUCUUUUCUGCUAGUGGCGUUGUAUAUUGUUUUAGCAAUGAUAUCAUGUUGUAGUGAAAUGGAUGUAUGUAUUAAUAAAUCAUAAAUGAUGCAUCUAUAUCCAGUGUCUGAUUAUAUAUUCAUGCUAAUCAUUAUAUUUCAUAAACGUGGUUGGUCUAUGUUUGCUUUAAGAAUAGAAUGGAACCUUUCUGCACAUGGUGGAUUGGGGUUUGUCUGUACAGGGACGAUGCUCUUUUUGUAGUUCCUGGGUGAUAAUCGUUCGAUUGAGGGACUAAAUAAAAAAAAAAUAGAACGAUUUCGUACCUUCUUCAGAAUUUUCACGCCUCUGUUUGAUUUGAGCUAUACAAAAUGAGAGCCAAAUGCUUGAAUAUUACUUUGGAGUCGGAUUGUAAACUAUACUGUCUCUACCAUUAAUUCGAAGGGAACAUACAUUACAUCCAUGGCCUAUGUAUUCUGCUUAAACUUGUCACCGAAGACUUAACUGCGAUUGUAUUAAUUAGGACGGCUAAUCUUUCUACAAAUAAAUAUUUUAUAACGAUACAGAGUAUUAUAAUUCGGCUCAACGAAUUCUGCGAGGGAGAAACGUCCCAACGAGAGAAUACAUUUCGUAUAUUUUGUUUCAUCUUUCACGUGUAAAUUUAUGACUAAUAGUCCCAAUAUAGUCUUUCAAGUCUUUAGUCGGGCUUUUGACAACAACAUAGAUAUAGUAUUUUCAACACGCAUAAGGUGACCAGCAUUUUAGAGGCAUCUUGAUAGGACAAGCUUGUGUGAUACAAUACUGAGAUCACCGGCGGACGGAUCUGGCGGCAUAUCAUCCGCAAUCAACUUUGAGGAACCCGCUCAAUGAAAACCCACGGUGUCGAGAAUAGCCGCAAUAAUGACUGUAAAUGAAAUAUCCACUACUUUGAAGGAGCUGUAUUGGUAGUCAAGAUUGUUUUAAACAACCGAUUUUUCCACCCACUUUACUAUGAACGGGGUGCUGCUGGGCCAUUAGGCCACGGUUACUGAUAUCUGAGUUUCAACUACGUUCUCGUGCUGAAUACUCCACUAGUUUAAAAGUGCAUUUAAAAACAUCGUUCUGUAGUUGAGGCUCAUGAUAAUAUAUAUAUAUAUAUAUAUAUAUAUAUAUAUAUGAUAAUGAUGAUAAUAUUAGGGAGUAUAUCCAAACUUACAGGGAAAAAUUGGAUUUAGGAUUAAAUCAAAUUUCACAGUAUAAAGAUAAAUUAAAUUAGAGAUAAUACCACUAUUAGGCAAAUCAAACAGUGAAAGACAUAAGCCAAAACAUGAAAAUAAAUAUAAUUAAUAUAAUAUACAAAAUAAAUAAGAUAUAGAAUUUAAAAUUUAAAUUAUUUAAAUUUAAAAUUUAAAAUUUAUAUUUAUAUUUAUAAAUUUUUAUAUUUUUAUAUUUUUUAAAUUUUAAAUUUAUAAAUUUUUUAAAUUUAAAUUUUUUAAUUUUUUAAUUUAAAAAAAAUUUUUUAUAAACUAUCAAAAAGUAAUAAAAAGUUUGAUAUAAGUAAUAAGUAAUGUAUUUGUUUAACCAAUUUUACACACAUACGCAAACACACACAAGCGCACUCACACACACGCACACACUCACUCUCUCUUCCUCCCUCUCUCUCUCUCUAAUACACAUGUCGAUAAUAUAAAUUUAUGCACGGGCGUGUGUGUUUUUUAUGCUUGUGUGCUUGCGUUUGUACAAUUCUAUGCGUUUCUUGUAUGCUUGUGUAUGAAACUCACUGAUUUUCUCUGCCUCUGAUUUACGUGCAAACUUUAUCCAAUGCAUCUUAACUGAGUAAGCCAAACAUUUAAAUAAACAUUUUUAUCUUGUAUGUAUGUUAUCAAACACUUUACAUUCCUAUAAUCAAUAUUUCACAACAAUGGUUCCUAAUUUCCUAUGAUUAGGCAAACUUACAUGUCGAUCUCGUCAGCAUCAAUUAGAUGUACCCUUUACGUUCAUGCGUUAAAUCAUCCCCUCCUUUUUAUCUUUCACUAUAUUUCUAAAUACAAGCACGCCUUCUUCUCAAUAGAAAGUGAUAUUUAUAACAGUUUGUUUCUAUCUUCUCUUAUUAUAUCAGUCACUUUCCAAUAUUAACGAUCAUUUGUUUAAGCAAUUACCUUAAAUUUACUGAUUUUAUGUUAUUGUUUUCUAUCAUUCAUACAUACAUACAUACACACACACACAUACAUAUAUAUAUAUGUAUAUAUAUAUAUAUAUAUAUAUAUAUAUAUACAUACAUAUACGUGUGUUUAUGUGGUGUACGAAUAUUUUGUAGUUUUAUAUUAUAUAUAUUCAUAUUUUCUUAGUGCCUAUCUAACUGCUAUUUUUAUCUCUUACCCCACACGUGCUAUCACUUAUUGAAAUCUAAAUUAGACUGCAACUUAUUCGAAAAUCGUAGUAACUAUUAUUUAUGAGGAAAAUUACUAAGUACUGUACGCUUCAUUAAAUGCAAAUGAGAGCACCCUCCCACCUCGCUUAUGAUACUUAUAACAUUUUUUGCCGUAAAUUCAACGUUUUCCUAUGUAUAACAGCAUUAAUUUUUUCCUCCUUUCGGAAGAUGGAUGUGUUUCUAAAUUUGUGUUACAACUUUAGAGCACAUGUAACGCGAGUGUAUGUACUUUUCGCUUUCCCCGAAAGGUUUUCAUAAUAACAAAAACAAAAUUUAUUUUGUAUGAUCACACAAUGCAAAACAUGUUAUAGUCUACAAAUGAUAAAUAUUGAGUUAUUUUUCAUGUUUGAGCUCCCAGUCAAGCGAUGAGAUAUUUCUAAAUUAUGUUUAUACACGUAAAUACAUAUAUAUAUACGUACACGCUCACCCCAUCCACACACACAUGCACACACAGAUCUGUAUUGUUAUAUAUACAUAUAUAUAUAUAUAUAUAUAUAUAUAUAUAUAUGUGUGUGUGUGUGUGUGUGUGUGUGUGUGUUUAUGCAUGUAUGUAUAUGUGUAUGUAUGUAUGUAUGUAUGUAUGUAUGUAUGUAUGUAUGUGUGAAGAAGGAUUGCACAACUAACAUUUUGUACAUUUGAAAUAUCAUUAGAUAUGAGAUAUUUACAUCAAAUGUAAUAUUGGCAGAUGUGAUGUAUUUUCUGAUAUUACAAGAAAUUAAAACAUUUUGAUGGAAACAUCGAUACAUUGUGUUAAUGUCUAUCACUGCACGCCACAUCGUGAUCCUUAUAUAUAUAUAUAUAUAUAUAUAUAUAUAUAUAUAUAUAUAUAUAUAUAUAUCGAACUUCAAAAUUGAUUUACAGGCAUAUCUCGUUUUAAAUGUACGUAUAUAUGUAUGUAUGAAUGCGUCUAUGCAUAUGUAUGUAUGCAUAUAUAAAUACACACACACACACACACACACACAUAUAUAUAUAUAUGUAUAUGCAUAUAUACCUUUAUACAUAUGCACAUAUAUACAUACAUAUAUACGUAUGUAUAUGUAUGCAUGUCUAUGUAUCUCUGUGAGCAGGUGUGUGUGUGUGUGAGUGUGUGUGGAUGAGUAUGUGUGUGUGCAUGUGUUUGCUACAAACGUUGUUACAAAUCAAUUUCAAUGAACGCUUCAUCGGUCGGCAUGUACAAUUGCUAUAACCGUUAAUAAUUACAGGAGUAGGAACAUAGUCGAGUGAAAAUGGAUCGAAACAGUUGAAGUGGUUGUAUUGUAGGAAAAUAUGCUACCAAAUUUCUAUUGCUUUUUUGGAAAUAUAUCGAAAUGGAAUAUUCUCUAAACAACAGUAAGAAUAAUCUGUAUGCGGUAAAAAAUGGAGCAUAGCGAAUUCGAAUUUCGGUGGGGUUAAAACACAUAUAUGCAGACUCUUAAUUCAAUAUAAUUAUUCGUUAUAGAUAGAAGAUAUAAGUACGUAUGUAGACAUAUAUAUUUACGCGUAUUAAAGGUAGGGUAUAGAACAAUAGUUCCCAUUCUGAGGUCAGUAGAGCCCUGGUGAUCCGCAAAGGUAGUUUUCGGGGUUUGUGAACUGAAUUCGAAAUUUCAUAUAUAUAAAUACAUAGUUGGUAUUAGUUUGACUCAGUGGAAGUUGGGGGCAGAGCCGUUAGAACACCGGGCGAAAUGCGUAGCCGUAUUUCGUCUGCCGUUACGUUCUGAGUUCAAAUUCCGCCUAGGUCGACUUUGCCUUUCAUCCUUUCGGGGUCGAUAAAUUAAGUGCCAGUUACGCACUGGGGUCGAUGUAAUCGACUUAAUUCGUUUGUCUGUCCUUGUUUGUCCCCUCUAUGUUUAGCCCCUUGUGGGCAAUAAAGAAACAUAUAUAUCGGAAGAAUACAAUGGAGAAGAAUUUGGAGAAAUUGAAACGCACGUUUACAAAGGCGCACACGUAUGCACACACACAAACAUACACACAUACAUAUAAACACACACACACAUACCCAAACACGCGCGCGUACGCACAUUCAGAGAAAGAAUGAGUGGGAGAGAGUGGGAGAGAGAUAUAGAGACAUAGUGCAAGAGCAAAAGAGAGAGCGGUAACGUUAUGAGAUCCAUGUAAAUGUCCUGAUAUUUUACCGGUUUUGUAACGAUCAAUAUCUGUACAUAAAUAUUUAUGUUUGUGUAGCAAUGAAUAAAGAAAAUAGAUAGGUGUUACCAAAGGCCGCAAUAAAAGCAACAUAACAAACGCAUACACAUAUAAAAGACAGAACACUUUCUCACACGUACACAAAUACAAUCAAUAUAUGCACACAUGCUGAAUUAUAUUACACACGCUGGAUUAUCUAUAAAUCAGAUACAUAAUUAGAUCAGUAGAACGUAAUAUAGAUAGAUAAGCACCACUGAAGUUGAUCUUUGGUCGCAUAAAAUGAAUGUUAAUAAUACAAUUUCUAUACAUUAUAUACAAACGUAGUUUGUACAAUAUCGAAGAUUAUGUAACAGGAAAUCAAUUCCAGUGACUCAAGAUUAAUCGGAGAGUAGAGAGAAGAGCAUGACGUAGCAAUGUGAAAUAACGCAAAUGAGCUAAUGGUGCGAAUGCAGAUGCGUAAUUUAAUACUAGUGACUUAAUAAAUGCGCCAAACACACACACACACACAAUUAUGACUGCAAUUUCCCUUAUGAGAACAAAGUUAUACUAAAUCUCCAGAGGUACUUUUUAACAAUAUUCGGAUGCAAAGGGAGAUAAUUUGAAGCAUAUGAGAAUUGCACUUUCAGAGAUAAUUUUUGCGCUAACGAGGAAGUCUUCUUUUCUUUUGGAUGUAUAACGUGUGUGGAUGUGUGUGUGUGUGUGUGUAUGUGUGUGUGUGUGUGUGUGUGUGUGUGUGUGUGUGUGUGUGUGUGUGUGUGUGUGUGUGUGUGUGUGUGUGUGUCUAUCAGCGAAAUAAAAAAAACUGAGGGAUUAGAAUAACAAAUUUAGUAUACUAAAGUAAUGAAUGUCCCUGAAAGAGGAGGGACGUGAAACCCUGCUCCUUUCCUUUUAUUGCUCUCCGCUUAUUUUUACUCUGAAGAAAUAUUUUUUGGGAAAUGAUGGCUACUCCCAACACCAAAAGCAAUUUCAACUCUACUCAUACUCUCUCUCUCCCUAUCUCUUUCUUUCUCACUCUGUGUAUAUAUGUAAAGUUAAUGAACUAAAUGCAUUCGAUAGGUUUCUCUUAACUUUUUAUUACAUUUAGAUAAAGUAGGUGCAACAUAACUGUAUCUAUACUUCCAGCAUAGAUACGAAUAUUAUAAUCUUUAAAAAGCUUCACAUCAAGACUACAUUCUGUAUUUAGUCAAAAACUUGCGUUUUGUAUGGAAGCAAAAAUUAGUUUCGUUUAUACUCAACGGUCUCAUUUAGACUCAACUCUAUUUCAACCUAGUGACAGAGACUCUUAAUCUUCACUUAUCUUGUUAGAAAUGAUAGUCAAUCAUUAUUUCUUUGGUAAAAGAGAGAACCCAUUUGUGUACAAAAGUUCAAGAUACAUUCUGAAAAUAAGAGUAUUCCAUGGAGAAAUAACCAUUCAUCAAGCAUUCACAAAAUUAAAGUUGGCUCCGCAGUCAAACAACAUGAACUAUAAUAAUAAUCUACUUAUAAGAACGGAAUAAUGAUAUUCUCUGAGUCGUCUAAGAACAAAAAGUAAGAAACUGAAUUGUGUGACGUAAAUCCCCAAAAGCAAAACAAAGUUUGACUUACGCUAGAAAAUGUUUAAAAUACUACAUAGAAAUUCAUAAAUAUUAAAAUAGCUACAGAAAACACAAAUAUAUACAUAAACAGAAGUUCUUGUACUCUUUCAAAUCUAAUGUAUUUGACUUUUCUAAUUCCAUUUCCUAUGAGACUGAAUUCUGUAGGAAAAAGAUCUAAAAAAUACAAAAACAGUCUCAGCAUUGAGUGAAAAACCAAGAAAUUCUUGUCGUUUUUGUUGUUGUUGGUGGUGGUGUUGUCUUUCGUGUUAUUGCUAUUAUUAUUAUUAUUAUUAUUAUUAUUAUUAUUAUUAUUAUUAUUAUUAUUAUUAUUAUUAUUAUUAUUAUUAUCAUUGUUAUAAUUAUUAUUAAUAUUAUCAUUAUUAUUAUUAUUAUUAUUAUUAUUAUUAUUAUUAUUAUUAUCAUUAUGAUUAUUAUUAUUAUUAUUAUCAUUUUUAUUAUUAUUAUUAUUAUUGUUAUUAUUAGAAUUAGUAUUAUAUUUUAAACAAUUUCAAUGACUCUAUAAAAUUUAAACAAAUAACAAUACAAACAAAAAAGUUUCAUAUUGUUGCUUUGGAAGUCAAUGAUAUAAUAUAAAAUGAAGGAACAUAAAUGAAAAAUACAUCAAAAUGUCUAUUUUAGUCAUUCUUUUUUUGUUGUUGUUUUUAUCCUUUGUAUGUUUCCUCUAUUUUGAGUGUGUGUGCUUUAUCAUAAACGUAAUGAAAAAUAUUAAUAUCCAUCAAUCAUAUAUACUCUCUCUCUCUCUCUCUCUUCUCUCUGUUUGUCUCUCUUUGAAUUUGUCACUUUGGCAUUUCUCUCUCUCUCUCUCUCUCAGUCUAUGUAUAUUCUUAAUCUCUCUUUAUAUUAUGUAUACGAUUCAAGGAUCCGAGUGUAGGAAAUUAGUAAGCUUCAAACGCUGUGUAACAGGUGUAGAGAACACGAAGGGAACAGUGUAAAAUAAGAAGCAAUAGCAAUUUUUUGGCAUUGUGAGUUACAAAAUUUUCCCUAUCUCAAAGUUCCGACGAAAUUCAAUAAACUGAUAGUUUCUAUAUAGUUCAAAUUUAGCAACUGGAUUUGCUACAAGUGCGAAUAAAAAUUCCAAAUUGAGGGAGUGGGACAGAUAAAAUGCACGCUACAUAUGUUUCUUAGCUAACUGAAGCUUAUACUGUAGUGGUUAUGCAACUAGCAAUGUUCAACGUAGCUAGUCAUCAGGCUGAGAUUACCUCAACGAAAUGAAAGUUACAUUGUGGAUUGCAAUUGCCUAGUCAGUUUCACUGAAUGGAGAAAACAGUGAACUGGAACUCCAUUCAGUUCUCCAGCGAAGUGGGGACCUGAAUGGACAAAACAUUGCGAGAAAAUUAUUAAGAAUUUAAAAGUCAAGAAGUGUGUCAACAGGAAGGAUGUCAGGAAAAUAUACAACAGUGGGAAUGGUUUAGAUUUGAGGAGUAUGAAUUAAAAGUGAGAGAAGGGAAAUAAAGAAGAAGAUAAAAUGGAAGAGUAAAUAAUUGCUAUCAUUAACGGAAAAAUUUAUGGUCAUAAACUUUUAUCUAAGAGAGGUAACAAUAGAAUUUGCUGACUGCUAGAAUCCAGUCGUUCGAAUUAAUAAGAUUAAAGGAGUGGUGUGGGCUCUGCAGGAAUACGUGGCACCAGUACAACCGGCUUGCCUAGAUCACAAAACAUAUACACAUCCAUUAGCCCUCGCAAAUAAACUCAUAUACACAAAAAUCGCACGCACAGACACAAUGUCUAAAUAAAUUCACACGUAGAAAUUAUAGAAAAAAUGUCAUAUGCAAUAAAUUUCAGCAAAGGCCUCAUACAUAGCCUAAUGAACCUAGCGAAGUGAAAAUUGGAUGGAGUGAACAACAAAACCUCCUUGAAUAUAUCAAAUCCACAAUUAUUCGAGCGACAAAUUAAUAUGAGAGAACAAUUGCAUAAUUAUCUCUCAGAAUGAAGUGCAAAACUCGUACAACUCAGCAGGACAUUGACAUUUCGACAUCUUUGCUCUGCAAUGCAAAAGUGUUCGCCAUCGUCCGUAUCCAACAGAUAAGAACAUGAGGCAUUAAUUUGUAUUCUGCUAUGACUCAGCCAGGAUAAAUAUAAAGUAAAUAUUUCUAUGAUGUAAUGAUGGACAUACUUUAAAAAUCUGGCAUGAUAAGUAAUCACUUUAUAAUAAGAUUUUACAAACGCUAUAACAUAACAAUAUCCAUAAACAUUAAUAAACAUGUAUCAGAUACGUAAAAAAAAACCAAUAAAUAUGAAUUUAAAUUCAAAGUAUAAAUCCAACCACACCUAACUCUGGUAAAUUUCGAAGGCACAAUAUAAACCUUGACGAUAGGUAAGCAAGAUUCUUUCAGAAAGCCUGGGAGGAAUUUCGAUAUAUAAAAACAAUUAUUCAAUUCAAGAACCAAGUUUCUAAUACAUAAAUGUUUCAGUGAAAUGAGGAUGAAAAAUUUUCACCUGAAACCCCGAUGAAUGAACAUUUUUCCAGCAACUAUUAAUUUCAAUGAAACUAAAAAGAAAAUAAUAGAGUUCAAAAAAGAACAAGAACUACACAAUUCAAGAGGAACAACUCAGAAUUUUGCGCUAACGAGGAAGUCUUCUUUACUUUUGUAUCUAUAACGUGUGUGGAUGUGUGUGUGUGUGUGUGUGUGUGUGUGUGUGUGUGUGUGUGUCUGUGUAUGUGUGUCUAUCAGCGAAAUAAAAAAAAUGAGGGAUUAGAAUAACAAAUUUAGUAUACUAAAGUAAUGGAUGUUCCUGAAAGAGGAGGGACAUGAAACCCUGCUCCUUUCCUUUUAUUUCUCUCCGCUGAUUUUUACUCUGAAGAAAUAUUUUUUUGGAAAUGAUGGCUACUCCCAACACCAAAAGCAAUUUCAACUCUACUCUUCUCUCUCUCUCUCUCUCUCUCUCUCUCUCUCUCUCUCUCUCUCUUUCUUUAUUUUUCGCUCUGUGUAUAUAUGUAAAGUUAAUGAACUAAAUGCUAAUUCGAUAUGUUUUUCUUAAAUUUUUAUUACAUUUAGAUAAAGUAGGUGCAACUUAACUGUAUCUAUACUUUUAGCAUAGAUACGAAUAUUAUAAUCUUUAACAAGCUUCACAUCAAGACUACAUUCUGUAUUUAGUCAAAAACUUGCGUUUUGUAUGGAGUUUUGCGCUUCAUUCUGAAAGAUAAUUAUGCAUUUGUUCUCUCAUAAAAAACUGAAAUAAUUCCCACAAGUUUAAAAAAAAUAAUAACAUAAUCACUUGCUUCGAUACACACUGUCAUUAGUUGAAAAUUGAUCGAGUAAGAAAUUAAAAGUCCAAAGCAAUGCACAGAUAAUACAUGCACCAAUCCCCUAGUAACAGCAAUAAUUCUAUCAAAUUACAUUUAACGUUUAACACUUACAGAAAAAAAAUAUAAAUGUAAUCGAAGAUAUAAUAGACAUGAUCCCGAGAUAUGCUUCUUGUGAGCCACAGAAAACGUCGACAUAACGGUCUACUAAUCCCACAAUAGAAACUCUGUAAUUUCAUGUUGCAUUUACCAUAAUAAAUGCAUUUCUAACUAGCAUGAAUUACUAUCUAGUUGAAUAGGUAUUGAUCUAAUAGUAGAGGACAUUGGAGUAGAGGGACGGCAAACUCUGCAAAUAGUGAAACAGACAACAAAAAUCGAUGUACCCAACAAUUUAACUAAUUUCAGUCAUACAGAAAACCAGACAGAUACCUCCUACCGAUAUUGGAUAAUAAUAAAAUGAUAGAAGAACAAUACAAUUUGCAUAAAUGAGAUGAAAACACCUACACAGACUCACUCAUAAAGAAUCAAUACGUUCGGUCACUCGCAGUUAAUGUAAACAGUAAAAUCGAAUGCAAUAGCGAAAUGACCAACAAGGACAAAAGAACCGACUAAUUAGCUAAUGAGAGUAAACAAAAGAAAACUUAUAAAAAUUAAAGGUAGCACCUUCAAACAUUUGACGAAUAUAAAAGACAUCACGUAGAGAAACUAGAUGUAAUAAACGAACAGAUGAAAAUGAUAAUUGAAGGUCUAGUCUACGGUAUUCAACAUAAAAAAGGUAAAAAUAUGAACCUUGUAUAUCGAAAGCAAUUAUUAGAGACUGUUCAAAGCAAACGAUAUAAAAGAAAUGAGUGUAAAAUGCCGAAACAUUAUUUUCCUCAAAUAUAGUAUGGACGUCAGCCUCCCGGCGAAACAGAGCCAGUCCAGUUAAUAUACUUUCACACGCAUUCAAAGAGUACUUACUCGUGUCUUCCGAAAAUGUAUGAUGGCAAUAUCUAACUAUCUAACUAUCUAUCUAUCUAUCUAUCUAUCUAUCUAUCUAUCUAUCUAUCUAUCUAUCUAUCUAUCUAUCUAUCUAUCUAUCUAUCUAUCUAUCUAUCUAUCUAUCUAUCUAUCUAUCUAUCUAUCUACCUACCUAUCUAUCUAUCUAUCUAUCUAUCUAUCUAUCUAUCUAUCUAUCUAUCUAUCUACCUAUCUAUCUACCUACCUAUCUAUCUAUCUAUCUGUGUUUUAUUUAAAUGCACCGAAAAGCAUUGUAAUUUUAUCGUUCAUUUAAUUUCGUAAGCAUUGGUGGAUAGGAGUACUGUAUCACGGGUUUUCACCGUUUUACAGAUCAUCAGUAGUAGAAAGCCAAGCACCUAAUACUAGACAGUGAAUCAGUGAAACCAACUUGCAAUAAUAUUAACCAAAGAGACAGAAUAGUUGCAAAAAGCCAGUGAGUUGAGUAUAAACUAGGCUGAAAUUUUGAAAGAAUAGAUUAUUCGAUUACAUCACUCUAGUACUCGACUGAUUUUUAUUUUAUCGACUCCGAAAGGAUGAAACGCAAAGCCAACCUCAGUAGAAUUUACCUGCGGUACCUUUAUUGAACUUCAUAUAUUUGUCUCACUUUGACGACAUGCAUUGGUCUCCCCCUCACUAAUAAUAAUAACAAUAAUAAUAAUAAUAAUAAUAAUAAUAAUAAUAAUCCUACGCAAAAUACUCUCUAUGUAAUCCCAAGGUUUAAAACAAACUUUUUUGUUUAUUUAUUUUAAAUUUUUUUUAAAGUUUUUUUUAAAGUUUUUUUUUUUAUUUAUUUAUUUAUUUAUUUUUAAUUUUUAUGUAUUAGACAUUCACUAGUACAACACCCCCCCCCCCAAAAAAAAAAACCCAAAUAUAUGGCACAGAACUUCCAACCUGUUGUCUCUUGAGGUCUCUGGGUGAGACUUGGAGCCAACUUGUACAUACAUAAAGCAAAAGUCAAACAUAGAAUAAUAAUAAUAAUAAUAAUAAUAACACCACCACCAACAACAACAACAAUAAUGAUUUAAUCUAUUGGCACAAGAGCGAAGUAUGAGACAGACAUAAAGUGUGGGGUUUGAAAUAUAAUGAUGAAAUAAUAAACAAAUUAAGGGACAUAUGCAUAGCAUACAAAGGUAAAGAGGAACAAGAAAGAAAAGAGCGGGUAAGAUGAUAGCGAUGUGGCCUUACUGAUACAGUAACACCUCUAGGGAUAAUCGAGGAACCCCCACUGUCCGAGAUUUCCCUGCAACCCCAGGAGCAAGUGCCCUCUCCAAUUCCUUCUAUCCAACUCACAAGUCUACACUUAGAAAGAUAGCAUCUCUACUCUUGCCAUUUUCGCAAUUUUCACACACCUUUCGAUAACCUCACUCAAGGACAGCACUUACCUCUCCACUCUGAAUUUCCUUUACAAGUGAAACUCGAAAAAGGCAAUAGGAGUUCUACCAAAGAGGAAUUACCUGUUCUCAUGCCUUUCAGACUUGUCCCCCAAACAACCUCUUUCGCCACAGCCAUCAGUCAAAGGAAAACUGUCUUGUGUGCCCGAUUGUAGUAGGGCGGCGGAGAAAUCAUCACUACAGACUCGGCCGAUAGACGGAUCCGUCCCAUACGAUACAUCAGCUGUUGGACAGAACCCCCAAGUCAUCAAUGCCCGGACACUGAACGAGAGCGUGCAGAACGGUUUCGUCACUCUGCAUGCACCUUGCUCAAACCCGUUUGACCGCACAUCCUUGCCUAUAGAGUUUAUCUCGAAUCGGUAGUGCCCCUUAGUAGCACUACCAGGCCAAAGUCAUCUACACAUUAUCCACGAUAAUUCCCGAAAAGAAAUUCCUCCGAAACAGACUAGUUAGUUCAUUGUGGUCGACACCCAGAGUCUCCCGAAGAACAUCGUCGCACUUACCCGCCAUUAAACCCCUAAUAAUGAUAAUAAUAUUAAUAAUAAUAAUAAUAAUAAUAAUAAUAAUAAUAAUAAUAAUAAUAAUAAUAAUAAUAAUAAUAAUAAUAAUAAGAGAACACCGGGGGACGUUUAAGAUGUAAGAAGGAAAAUUCAGAGCUCCGAAAUCUAUCCACAAACAUCGAAAACAAGGACAUCCUAUGGAGCCGAAGUUUUAUAACAAAGAAUUGGACUGUAUCCGAGUAAGUAAUACUAAUUGAAAUUUAUUACUAUUUUCGAAACGAAAUGAUGUAUUUUGACUCGAUAUCAUCUCCACCUCUAACGCAACACAUGUAAACAUGCGUGGAACAUCACGAUCAUCCCCGACCCCAAACACCAGGUACAAAGGAACUACGAAGAAAUUAAAUGCCACCGAUACUAUUCAACCCAAGAAUAACAAUCGAGCGGUACGUACAUUAAACUUACAACAAAAAAUGUACGAAAAACUACACGUGCGAAAUAAUGGGACAACAGAAAUAAACGGACCGGUACCCUACGAAAAUGACGACCGUCAACAUAAUCGGCCGGACGUUGUACCUCAUGUCCCGCAAAUAAAACCCAAAAGACGUAAAUGGACACGUGAGGAAUACAUUUCUAUCUUACACUCAUACUUUACAGCAGUACUCUACCCAAAAAAUGAAAAUACAACAACACAUACAUAUAAAAUAUGGAAGGAAAAUAAUAGAGAUAUAGACUUGGAUACAGCAAUGAACCCUAAUAAAUUAGCUAACGUACGAAGAUACAUUCUCAACACAAAAAAAAUAUCAGAAAUAGAAAUAGAACACCUAGAAGAAAACAUACACCAGGAAAAUGUAGAUAGAAGCCACACAACAAUGCCCAAUAAUAUAAACACUGAAACUGUAAAACACGAAGACAAACGCAACAUUCCCAACAAACACGAUGCAAACAACGAAGGGGAGCCUAAUGAUUAUGAUAAUAUAAAAAAUAAAAUAAUCAAAGAACUGAAAACCACAGAGCUCAAAAUGGACCACCGACCAUACCUCCCAAGAAUCAAAAUAAACGAAAUAACAACACCUAUUAUAAACAGCAUAAACCUAGCCGUCACUGAACUGAUAGCCACUGAAUAAAAAAAAAGUGAUAUCACUGAGCUGAAUGAUCUAAUAUACGCAGCAGCCACUGCAGCCACAAAAGAAGCUGGAUACUCACCCAAACCCGCCCAAACAGGAGUACCACCACCCAAACAAACCCUGUGGAUAAAUAACAUCCAAAACAAAAUUUAAAAAAUUAGAAAAGACCUGUCGAUUCUGAAUGAAAUCAGCAAACAAUCAAAGCUACUGAGCAACAAAAAGAGAACAAAAAAACUCCGCAAAUAUAACAUCACAGAGAAAGAUUUGCCUGAAAUAAAAGAAAAGCUGAAGCAAGAUAUCCUUGCCAAAGCACAAAGGAUCCGCCGGUACGAGAAACGCCAACGCUUCUUUGAACAAAGCAAAAAGUUCAACUCCAACCCCAAAAAGUUCUACCAAGAACUGGGCAAAAAUAAAAUAGAAGUCACUGCAGCACCAACGGCAGAAGAAUUGGAAGAAUUCUGGAGAGAAAUAUGGUCGGCGAACGAACCACCAAAAAAAGGAGUAUCAAAAUAACAAACUCGGCAUCUGAACAACUUUGGACCCCCAUAACAACUGUAGAGGUCACCCAGGCACUGCAAAGACUAAGCAACUGGAAGGCACCUGGGCAUGACAAAAUCCCCAACUUCUGGUUGAAAUAUCUAACAGGAAUGCACAAAAAGCUGGCUGAAGACUUUAACAACGUACUAGCAGAGCCAGAGACAAUGCCUGAAUGGCUCACGAAGGGGAAAACCACCUUAAUUCCCAAAUCAAAUGAAACAGAAAAACCAGAAAACUACAGACCAAUAACCUGCCUCCCUACUAUGUUCAAGGCAUUUACUGCAGUGAUAUCACAAAGGCUGAACAAGCACCUGGACGAAAACAAACUGUUCCCAGAAGAGCAGAAAGGAUGCCGCAAAGGCUCAUAUGGCUGUAAAGAUCAACUAAUGAUUAAUAAAGCCAUAACUGAAGACAGCCACAGAAAGAAGAAAGGCCUCAGUAUGGCCUGGAUUGACUACAAAAAGGCGUUUGAUAGCUUCCCCCACACAUGCAUCCUCGAAACACUAGCCAUUAACAAAGUAGCACCAACAAUCAUAAAAUUCAUAGAGCACUCUAUGAAUAAAUGGCAAACAGUCCUACACCUCCAAACAAAAGAGGGACUCAUGAAAACCAAAGACAUCCCCAUUAGAAGAGGAAUAUUCCAGGGAGACACGCUCUCUCCACUCCUUUUCUGCUUGGCACUGUCACCUCUAUCUGAUAUGCUAAAUAGAACUGGAUGCGGAUAUAAAUGUUACGGCAAAACGAUCAGCCACCUUUUAUAUAUGGAUGACCUAAAACUAUACGCUGCAAAUGACAAACAGCUGGAAACACUAUUAAAGACAGUUCAUGGAUUUACCAAAGAAAUAGAUAUGAAAUUUGGAUUAGAAAAAUGCGCCAAAGUAACCAUGAAAAGAGGAAAACUAGUUAAGAGUAACAACAUCACACUAGAUAAAACCAAUGAAAUAAAGGAAUUAGACCAAAGCCAAACUUACAAAUACUUAGGAAUCCAUGAACUAGAUAAGACACAACACACACAAAUGAAAGAGAAAAUAAAAAGAAUAUUAUAGACGAGUUAGAUCAAUACUAAAAACAGAGCUCAAUGCUAAAAACAAGAUAAUAGGCAUCAACACUUUAGCUGUCCCAGUUAUAAGUUACAGCUACAAUAUCCUUAACUGGACACGAAAUGAACUGACCAAAAUAGAUAGGAAAACAAGAAAAAUAAUGACAGGAUCUAGAAUGCAUCACCUAAAAUCUGACAUAGAAAGACUAUAUAUACAACGUAUAGAAGGUGGUAGAGGACUUAUACAGCUGGAAAACUACUAUAAAGUAACCACCAUAGGACUGCAAAAAUAUCUACUUCAGAAAGAAGGAAAACUUAUCCAGAUAGCGGCAAAACACGAGCAAAACAAAAAACUGUUCUCAGUAUUUAAGGAAGCUGACAAAUACAAACAAGAAAUCAUACCACCUAAUAAACAUGAAGAAGAAUAAGAAGAAGAUGAAGAAACAACAAAAGCUAUAAAACAAAUGAAAUCCAAACUAAAAAUAGAACAGCAACGAACCAUGAUAAAACGAUGGCAAGAAAAGCCCCUUCAUGGUAAAUACUGGACUAAACUAAACGCAAAAGAAAUAGACAAGGAAAAAUCCCAGCAAUGGUUGAGAAGCUCAGGACUCAAAGCAGAAACAGAGGGAUUUUUAAUUGCAGCACAAGACCAAAGCCUCCCCACCAGAAAUUACCAAAAACAUGUAAUGAAAAGAAAUAUUACAAGUAACUGCAGAAUAUGUGGAGAUGGACAAGAAACAAUAAAUCAUAUUAUCUCUAGCUGCCCAGUCCUGGCUAAGAAGGAAUAUAUUCACAGACAUGGCAGAGUUGGAACCUACAUACACUGGAAGCUAUGCCAACAUUAUGGAAUAACAACAGAAAAAAGAUGGUAUAGGCACACACCAGAAAAGGUCACAGAAAACGAGAAAGCAACCAUACUCUGGGAUAUGCCGAUACACACAGAUAGAGAAAUUAAGGCCAACAGACCAGAUAUAGUUGUCAGAGAUCAUGAAGAAAAAAAUGCUUUCUAAUUGAUGUAUCAAUACCGGCAGAUAACAACGUGUCUCUAAAAGAAAUGGAGAAACUCUCAAAAUACAAAGACCUGGAAAUAGAGGUAACUAGAAUGUGGAAUCUGAAAACAGAAACAAUUCCUAUCAUAGUAGGUGCAUUAGGCAUGAUAAAAAAAUAUUCAGACAAAUACAUAACAAAAACACCAGGACUUACAAACACAUAUUACAUACAGAAAAUUGCACUACUAGGCACUGCACACAUCCUACGCAGAACACUUUCCAUACAAUAACCAUCAGAGCAUCACAACAAAUCACAGCACAUACCCAAGGCACACAGAGCUGCGCUCGGUAGUGAAGUGAAAGCACGCUAUAAAAAUAAAACUACUGAAUAAUAAUAAUAAUAAUAAUAUUCAUGGACCUUUUGAACGGGAUGGGUUACUCGAUCAGAAGAAAAUUCUAACUGAGCUCCACCUGCAAGGUCAUGGGCUGUUUAUCUUCUUAUGAGAUCACCAUGUCGCGCACAUAUGGUUGUGAUGCAUGUGCUUAUCAGAUGGAUAUACUGGGCUUCGUAUAUUUUACCCCAGUGUCACUUUGAUGGUAUGCACUGCUCUCUCACUCAAUAAUAAUAAUAAUAAUAAUAAUAAUAAUAAUAAUAAUAAUAAUAAUAAUAAUAAUAAUAAUAAUGAUAAUAAUAAUAAUGAGAAGAGGAAGCAGAAGAAGAAGAAGAAGAAGAAGAAGAAGAAGAAGAAGAAGAAGAAGAAGAAGAAGAAGAAGAAGAAGAAGAAGAAGAAGAAGAAAAGGAGGUGAAAGUAGAAGAAUACGGAAAAGAAGAAAAAAUUCCACUACUGGCAAAAUGCAUGAAAUUUGACCUAUAGUUUCCCCCAAAAAAUAAUAUCGAAAUCCAAUAUUUCCCUAAGAUCUAGAACGAUGUUUAACAUCCCUAUGCAACUGCCAUUCUUAAAAACUAAGAAAAAAUAGGGAAACCAAAUCUUGUGAGUUUUUUUAUUACUUCAGUUGACAUUUUAGUUAUAGCAAUAUAUACUGCUGAAUUCAUAUCUUCAUUUCCAUGUCACGUGAUUACAUUCUCUUGACUUUAUUCAUAUUGAUGAUCCUAACCUUUCACUAAUUAUUUCGAUUGACCUGAAUUACUAGUAUAUUCAGUCGAAAAGCAUCGUCGAGAAACUGUUUAUAUAGCAUUAAUAAGAUAAACAACUGCGGUACUAUAGAAGAAAACGAUGAGCAACUGAGAUAGAGAAAUGGUUGAGGUUGAUAUCUUAGUUUACUGUUUAAAAAUUAUAAAAGAUUUCGCUUAUUACACGCAAACUGUAAAUGUUAAAUAUAUUUAACCAUCUUCCUGUUGCAGUGUAUAUUUAUACACGCACGCGUGCGCGCACAUACACGCACACACACAUGCGCGCGCACACACACACACACACGAUUGAAGUAAAUAGGCACAUCAUAAAAAGUUGUUUCAUUUUUAUUUUAACUUGAAAAGGUUUGUAUUUUUUAUCAAUCGACAUUUUUAGGUUUCAGGUUCUAUAUGUGACUAUUUGAAUAUGCCACAUGCAAAAGAAACCUUGGAACAGUCCGAAUACAACUGUCUUCUCCCUCUCCCUUGGCUGCUUCUGGUUAAACCAUCAAUCGUCUGUAUCCGAACUGUUCCUUCAGAUUCUCUACUACCCACCUACGACGCAGUCACAAAGUAGCAGAGAGAGAGAGAGAGAGACUAUCUGAAGACUAGAAAUAUUUACUAUUUAAAGAUUAUGGAAAUAUCUACAAAGCAUUUCACUUAAAUUUUUCUCCAAUUUGUUUUUAUUAUUUUACUCUUAGCUGAAAAAGUCUAAUAGACAGAAACCAGUACUAAAAUGUACUUCAUGAUAAGAUUAUUUUGGCAUUUUCUACCUUGUCUUAUUUUCCUUAUAUUGGGUCGGCAACUAAGUUCCCGCUGUUUUUUUAAAUUUAAAGUUUUAAAAAUGUUUAAUAAAAAUUAACUAAUUAAUCAAUAAUGUACUCACCCUUGUUCUUCACUUCUUCCCAACGUUCAACAAGAUUUUCAAUACAUCGUUGAUAGAAAUCAGCCGAUUUCCACUCGAAAAUUUGAUCCAACCGAGCUCUCAAUUCUGCAUCAGUAUUGAAUGAAACUCCAUGCAUAGCAUUUGAAAGAGAUCGAAAGACGUGGAAAUCCGUUGAUGCCAAAUCAGGAGUGUACGGCGGGUGUGGCAGAACUUCCCAGCCAUGAGUUUUGAAUGGCUUCCCGGGUUAUAUUGACGAUAUGAGGGCGGGCGUUGUCGUGCAGCAGAAGAACUCCAUGCUGCCAAAGCCCUGUUGAGUCGUUUCAUCUGUUGAACAUAUAGUUCCGUGUUGACCGUUUGGUUCCGUUCAAGCAAUUCGUAAUGGAUAAUCCCUUCCCAGUUCCACACAACAUCGUUUUACGCGGAUGAAGAUCUUGUUUCACGCGCGGUGCCGCUUGUUUACCGUGGCUAAGCCAUUCUUUACCUUGCUUCAUAUUGAUAUACAGGCACCAUUUUUCGUCGCCAGUAACGAUUCGGUAAAAAAUCGUUCCUUGUGUCCAUGAAUUGAGCGGUGACGAGCAAGCAAACCAGCGGAGAUUAUUGCUCGUUGAUUUUUGUUGUUGUCACUUAACGCAUUCGAAAUCCAUGCUCCAUAUUUCUCAACGUUUCCCAUCGAGUGAAGAUGCUUCUCUAUAGCCGUCUUGGGGCAUUCCAUUUUCUCUGACAGUUCCCUUGUUUGACGAGAAUUUUCGUGCAAAAGUUGGUUUAGUCGCUCUUCAUCGAACUCAACUGGAAAGCCAGAACGAGGUUCGUCUAUGAGGUCAAAAUUUUCAUUUUUGAACUUGGCAUACCAAACACGAGCUGUCCUUUCUGCUGUGGCACCUUCUCCAUACACAGCACAAAUGUCGCGAGCUGCUUUUGCGGCCUUAGAAGCUUGAAUAAAAGCAAAAAGAAAGAAGGUGUCGAAAAUGCUCGUUUUUGUUAGGUUGACAUUCCAUUUUAAUGAUCGAAAAAUAAACAAAAGUCAACUAAAAGUAACUAGAAAAAAAGAAAAUUUAUUCCAAAAUUUAAUAAAACGACGGGAACUUAGUUGCCAACGCAAUACACAUCAAGUCAUGUGUUAUUUUUCUACAUCCUGCAUGUAUAUAUGCAUCAUGAUAUAUAUAUAUAUAUAUAUAUAUAUAUAUAUAUAUAUAUAUAUAUAUAUAUAUCAUGAUAGAUCGUUAGCUACUACAAACAUUUUUUUCUCUCCUUGUUUUUUCUAUGUACCUUUCUGUUGAAGAGCGUAGGCUCGAAACGUAAAAGGCUUUUUCUAUUCCUGAGCAAUAUACUAAUACAUCUGUUUGUUUGUACACCACCUGCCUUCGUCUUUCGUUUAUUUUCGUAAACUUUCCCGCUAUAUAUAUAUAUAUAAAUUUAUAUAAAUAAGGAUAAGAUCGUUAAUUUAAAAUAAAAUAUUGAUCUUAUGGAGUGGCCAGCAUGGAAUGAAUAACCUUCAAAGGUAAUAAUUAUCAAAAUUAUAACUUAGGAUAUGUACGAGAUACCGCCAUGCUGAAAAUAGCAGCCAUGAUCUGAUUUUAAAACCACCUUAAGUGUUCAUAUAGCAACACGGAGAGAAGACAAAAAGACAAAACAAGUAAAAACUACUGGAUAAUUCCCGAUCCCGGAUUUUUGGCUUUGAACUUUGGAAUGCUUUGCCUCAUCAGUGGAAUAUACACAGAGAAACAUAAAUACAUAUAUAUAUAUAUUACGGAGAUGUACUCGCAUAGCAAGUAAUUUGAUCUGAGAUCGUGUGCUGAAACGAAAACAAUUGCAGCGUGGAAGGUGUUUAUAAGCCAUUUAAGAAACACACAAAAGCCGUUCGAUUCACUCCAACAUUUAAGUUUAAUUUGUCAAAAUAUUUUCGUCGCUAAAAUCCGCGACCUGUUCACUGACAAAAUCCGUGCUGCAUCGGACUUUGUCAGUGAACAGGUCGCGGAUUUUAGCGACGAAAAUAUUUUGACAAAUUAAACUUAAAUGUUGGAGUGAAUCGAACGGCUUUUGUGUGUUUCUUAAAUGGCUUAUAAACACCUUCCACGCUGCAAUUGUAUAUAUAUAUAUAUAUAUAUAUAUAUAUAUAUAUAUAUAUAUAUAUAUAUAUAUAAAUACAAUAUACCAAUACUUACAUAUACGAACGUAUAUAUGCAUAUAUAUGCACGUAUGCAUCAUGACUAGUUCAAAAUGUCCGCUUCUUAAUUCCAUGUGCGGUAUGGUUAAAACAUUACCGCAGUAAAUACAGUGACGAAAUAAAUUUAAAUUUAUAUAAAUAAGGAUAAGAUCGGUAAUUUAAAAUAAAAUAGCGAUCUUAUGAAGUGGCCAGCAUGGAAAAAAUAACCUUCAAAGGUAAUAAUUAUCAAAAUUAUAGCUUAGGGUAUCUAGGUGAUACCACCAUACUGAAAAUAGCAGCCAUGAUCUGACUCCAAAACAACCUUAAGUGUUCAUAUAGCAACACGGAGAGAAGACAAAAAGACAAGAUAAAACUAGUAAAAAAAUUACUGAAUAAUUCCAGAUACCGGAUUUCUGACUUUGCAUUUAGGAAUGCUUUGCCUCAUCAGUGGAAUAUGCACAGAGAGAAACAUAUAUAUAUGAAUACAGCAUACGAAUACUUAUAUAUACGAACGAAUACAUAUAUAUAAAUGCACGUAUGCGUCAUGACUAGUUGAAAAUGUCCGCUUCUUAAUUCCAUGUGCAAUAUGGUUAAAACAUCACCGUAGUAAAUACAGUGACGAAAUAAAUUUAAUAUAUGCGUGUAUGCGUAAAUUAUUUUUUGAUGAAUGUUGGGGUGCGCAUUUGUGCGUUUCAAACGAGUGUGGACGAGCAUAUGCACAUGCGCACAUGUAUGUUGGUGUGCGUACGGACAUGCGCUCAUACGUGUUCGCCAUGAGCAUAUUUACACUAUUACUUUUUAUUCUUAUUGCUUAUUUUUUUACAUAUUUUUACACAUUUUUCCAUAUUUUGCCUUUAGUCUUCUUUACUUGUGCAUGUGUGUAUAUUGACGAGUGUAUGAACCUUUUUUGUGCGCGAGUGUGUGUGCGAACGUGUAUUCGGGUAUGUAUAUAUUUUCAUUUUUUGGCAAAUGUCUGGGAGAGCAUGUGUGCGUUUCAAAUGAGGGUGGAUGAGUAUAUACAUAUAAGCAUAUGCACGUGGGUAUGCAGGCGCAUAAGUUUAUGUAUGGACAUACGCGCUUACGCGAUUGCUAUGUACUUUUUACUCCCUUACCUUUACUCCCUCCCCUUACUUAGCGGUCAUUCCAAUAGCUCUUUUGUCUUAUAGCGGUCUAUGACAGAGUAAUUUACCUUUGUUAAACGGUCAUUUUCAUAGCAUUUUUUCCACUGACCCGAUAACUGAAGAAAUGCCGGCGUGGGUUUCCGCCCCGACAUCCGAAACUCAGAAAUUUAUCAUGACUACCGAAUAAUUAUCACAUAGUAUAUUUACAGAUAAAUUCCUCUAUUUACAUAAUAUUGAGGUCUCUUUCAUUAUUUUGUUGUAUAUAUCAAUAUAUAUAUAUAUAUGUAUGUAUGUAUCUACUUUUCUUUCUCUCUGUUCCUCUCUCUCCUUUUCCUCCCUCUGUAUGUCAAUAAUUAUACAACUCCAAUUAUAUGAAUGGAUUUAUCAUACGUUGUGCCCUUAAUUGGUUGCUAACAGAAAAUCUAUAAUGAUCAAUAAGCUACUUUUUAAAUAUUGCUUUUUAAUUAGUAGCUGUUCUACAGUGCCUCUUUAUCGAUUUUCUAUAUGCUAGAUUCCAAGCAGUUGACAUAGAGUCGUAGAUUGACGUUAUAAUUCGUGACGUUGUGUUGCUACGUUUAUUCACUGUGAAAACAACAUCUAUUUUAAAAUAUAGCCAGUCAAAACCAACUUGAUAAUGACCUCAGUGAGAAGCAAUGUAAAAUCACAGUUGGAUAUUAGAGAGUUUAUUUGCUCUAAGUUGGCAAAAUAAAGAGGUCACGUAGCCUGUCAAUAUAACAAGAUGUUUGUGGUCGUAAGCCAGUUUAUACAGUUGAUUUAUAUUGUAGAGUGUUUGUGCUUUGCUGAUUCACAAUCGCUCGAGUGUCAUUCGGAUUUUUUCUGCUUCAUUAGGACCUGAGAUCGAAUCUCAUAGAAGUCGGUUUUGCGUCUAGUCCAUUCUUGGGCCAAUAAAAUGAACUGGAAGUUAAAUAGUCCGUGCAAUGCACUCGCCUUAAUCACCUGAGUCGCCCUUCAGAACACUAAAAGAUUUUAAGAAAUGGAUUGGUGAAAUCGUUAUUUAAGGAGCAGCCGUAUUCAGUUUUAGUCAUGACAUAAUUACAGAGUACAGAGAAUAGAAAGGGGACAAAUUGAUCAUUCAGAAGCAGUGUUCAGAAGAUGAGAUGGCCAGCUUAUGAGGUAAAAAUCUCGACGAUUUCUUUGACCGAGUUAGGAAAAAGCGAAAUUUGUAAAUAGAUUUAUGUUCGUAUAUUUUUCCUUAUUCUUGCCUUACUUGAACUGCAGGAAGUCAGAUAUAUCGUGGAGAUAUUUGUUACUAGAAUUUUAUAUUACACAUUGCGCUCUUCAAAGCAUAGUAGUGGAGCAAUAUGUUGAGAGGAAUUCUUUCGGGAUUCGAUAAUUUACAUUUGGAAACAUGGGUGUUUCGUUCAACAUCCUCAAACAACCCUUAUUAAAGGAUCUUUUCAGGGCGAUGGGCUACUCGACCUGAACAAAAUUCUGAUUGGGCCCCCACCUCCAAGGUCAUGCACUGUUUUUCUUGAUAUAAGAUCACCACGUCGCGUACAUAUGGUUGUGAUGCAUAUGUGUGGCUUACGUUAUCAGAUGGAUAUACUGAGCUUCGCAUAUUUUACCCCAGUUUCAUCUUGAUGGGAUGAACUGCUCUCUCACUCAAUAAUAAUAAUAAUAAUAAUAAUAAUAAUAAUAAUAAUAAUAAUAAUAAUAAUAAUAAUAAUAAUAAUAAUAAUAAUAAUAAUAAUAAUAAUAAUAGUAAUAAUAUUAAUAAUAAUAGUAAUAAUAAUGCCCUGAUGCAGUACCAGGCAGUGGCUCUCAUGGCUUCUGAUCUUAACUGAUUGGAAGUGUUAUCAUGUACAUUGUUUUGUUUUGGUAUAAAAGAUGGGCUACAGCAAAUAUUCUGCUCAAUACCACAGAUUUGCUUGUCUGUUGUUUGACCGUAACCAGUUGAGCAUGUCCCUUAGUGGCUGACGAUAUGUGCAUCUCUGAUCACGAGCAGAAGUAGUGGGGGAGCAUCAUAGCCAUGUGUAGAGAGGGAUUCUUUGGGGUUUGAAUAAUUCACCUCUGGAAACAUGGGUGGUUCUUUCAACAUCCUUAAACAACCCUUAUUCAGGGACCUUUUGAGCGGGAUGGGCUACUCAACCUGAAGAAAAUUCUAACUGGGCCCCACCUGCAAGGUCAUGUGCUGUUUAUCUUGAUAUAAGAUCACCAUGUCGCGCACAUAUGGUUGUAAUGCAUGUGCCUGGUGUACCCUUAUCAGACGGGUAGUCAUGAUGGGUAUAUUGGGCUUCGUAUAUUUUACCCCAGUGUCACUUUGAUGGCAUGAACUGCUCUCUCACUCAAUAAUAAUAAUAAUAAUAAUAAUAAUAGUAGUAGUAAUGAUAAUAAUAAUAAUAAUAAUAAUAAUAAUAAUAAUAAUAAUAAGAGUUGGUGAAUGUAAAGCACAAAUAGCUGCACAAAUGAACACUUGAUUAAAUUCCGACCAAGUAACAUUAGAGUAGUUGCAAUUGGGUAGAACAGUGCGGUGAUUUGACCCACGAAUAGUCAAGAAGGAAGCCGAAACAAUAAAUAAAUAAAUAACACUCUUAAGUGCGAAAUAGCUCGGCUAUGGAAAAGGAAUAGGGUGAAGAUAGUGUCAAUUAUUGUUGGGUCCUUGAGAACAGUAUCAGAAGGCACCAAGAGGAAUAUCAAAGAAAUUGGAAUAGAGAGCCCAGUGGAACUGUUACAAAGGGUUCGCCUCCUUGGCACGGCAAGGAUAAUCAGGAAAGUAUGAGAUAACUGAAAAGCACUGAUAGCAUGGCAACGUAGGCUGCAGGUAGCAUUUCUGCUACUCAUGCAGGGCUCCAGGAGCUCCAACAAAACCUGUGAAAAAAAGAAAUAAUAAUAAUAAUAAUAAUGAUGAUGAUGAUGAUGAUGAUGAUGAUGAUGAUAAUGAUGAUUUCAUUUAUUUGUCACGAGGGGGAAGGACGAGGGAGACAAUACAAAGACAGACAUAAAAUGUGGUGGUUUACAUAUAAUACUGAAAUGACAAAAAAAAAAAACAAAUAAUGUAUACACGGUAUACACUAGAAAAGAAGGGACAUAAGCAUAGCAUACAAAAUUUAAAAGAACGGGCUGGGGAUGAUAAAGAUGUGGCCCUCUUCAUACAGGAACACCUCUAGUGAUAAUGGAGGAACCCUACUGUCCGGGAUUUCCAUGAAACCCCUGGAAAAGUACCCUCUCCAAAUCCUUCUGUCCGACUCACAGGUCUACACUUAGAGAGGUACCAUUCACUCUUGCCAUUUUCGCAACUUUCACCCACAUUUCUUCAUUAACCACAAAGGUUUACAUUAAGAAAAGCAUAAUGGACAUCAAAGGACAAAAGGAAAAAAUGUGUGUGAGUAUGUGUGCGAGCGUGUGUUAUGAGGUAGCGACUACACCGGCAAUGGCAGUCAUGGUGACCGUGAUCAUGAUCAUGUCACAGUGAUAACAGCGACGGCGUUAGUGUCGGUGAUGACAAAAAAAGCGACGAUUGCUGACUCACACAGAAGGUUACUAAGUUAGUGUGAGGGUCAAUGAAAUGAACUGUACUGCUUUAUUGAUUCUUUUCUGGGGUUUUUUUUUCGAUCGAUCAUUGAAUGAUAAAAGAUAGAGGUGACCGCAGUGAAAAGAUGACUCAGGAUAUAAACGAAUACAUCGCUCCGACGGUUCUCUAAAUUCACUAUCCUUAUAGCAUUAGUAGAAGCAACAACGGCAGCAGCAGCAGCAGCCGUAGUAGCAGUAGUCGUGGUGGUGGUGGUGAUGGUUGUGUUGUUGUUGUUGGUGGUGGUGGUGGUGGUGAGGAGGAAUAUGUUUUUAAUGGAAUUUAAGUAUGCGAAAAAUAAAUAUUCUCAGGCAUUGGACAUAGAAAACUACAUGGACGACAGUAAAAUCCUUGUAUUCAAUCCAUCCAUAAGAUUUUAGUAGAAUUCAGUGAUUUUGAUGAUAUUUGAUUGGCAAUAUUUCCUGUAAAGCAAUCAAAGCCGCAUCGAUCAUCAACUGUUUCCACUUUUGAUAUAUGUGGAAUAUGCACUCCUUCAGCUGGAAUAAUGAUAUUUCCCGGACAACCAAUUUCCUCGAACAUUUUAUAACAGGAUAUCUUCUUUCAUUCCUUUAUGUGUUGCAGUUCAAUGUGUGUACCUAUGCUGGCGUACCCACAUUUAUAGUGUAUAACGUCUAUAGUGUAUAACGUCUAUUCGAUCUGCGGUUUCCUGCGUGGCAGGCAGGAAUACUUACUAUAUGUCACCGAGGAGCAACUUUUGUUUAUAAAUAUUAGACAGAAAGUGUGGUUGCAAGAUUUGCUAAAAAUAAUAGCCAAAUCUCAUAUCACAUGCUGCCCUUAAGUCAUGAGAGAAUUUCAAAACAGUCGCUUGCCUUGGUAAAAAGUAACCAAAUCUCUGUCAAAUCAUAGCGUACAGGCUGAGAAAAAGAACACAUUUGAUGAUGAGUCCAAGAUACAUUGCAUUUGAAAAACAUAAGACAUAGUUUUCGUGUAUAUACACACACACAUGAACACACACGUACACGGAGACACAUAAUACACACACAGACCCACACACUAGUGGUGAUGGUUUAUUUGCCUCCCCGUGACUAGAUAGAAUAAGCACCAAAUUUAAACGGAUAAAUUCUGGGAUCCACUUAUUCAGCUAAGUCGUCAAGGCGCGUAUCCCCGUUUGGCUGCAGUCAAAUACAUAAAAUUAUUAAAAAGUAAAUACUAUAGAUGGAAUGAAAACCUUUGAUCGAUAGUCUGUUCAAUCUGAAGAGAUUUGUGGCUAAACAAUAUCGACGGGAACAAAGAAUUUAGUAAACUGAGAUAUUCUAAAGCUAAGACAGUCUAAAUAAACUAACCACUCUAUCUAUUUGCCACUCAAACAAUUUGGUAGCUAUCUCUUCCGCUUGUCUCCUUUAAUUCCAGAUAAUCAAGAUAGCAUGAUUAAGUACUGGAGUAUAGUAAGCAACACACAGCAAUGAAGGUGACAAAAGGUAAUAAAUACGCUAUAUAUUACCCAGAAUAGAAAAUAAUAAAAAGGAAAUGGCCACACGUCUUCACCAAGUAGAUUACGCAGAGUGCUCAUAUAAUAACUUCGUUAGAAUACUGGAACUUUCCUGGAACAUUUACAUCUGGUAUAAACUAACAUUGCUAGGUUUUAGUGUUAUGCAUCAUUUGGAUAAAGAGUCAUUACAGGAGACAUUCUACAUAAUCCCAUGACCUGCUAGAAAUAGCAACCAAAACCUCUCUAAAUUCGCACCCAACCUUCAUAAAUUGGAUAUAGCUAGAGGAAAACAAUGUCUGAAAGGGACGAUAAAAUGUCUUGAAACAGAGCUUGACUACAGCUUGACUACGACUGACAGGGAGGUAUACAAGAGCAAGAACAACAACAGCAACAGCAGCAAAAACGUUCCUUAUAUAUAAUACUGAUUCUAGCAAUUUUAUUUUCAAAUUUUGGCACAGGGUCAGCAAUUUAGAAGUGGUAAAGUAGAUUAAAUCGACUUCAGUGCUCAACUUAAUGUUAUCGACCUCGAAAUGAUGAAAGGCAAAGUCGACCUCGGUAAAUUUGAACUGAGAGCGUAAAGAGAGACAAAGUGCCGCUAAGCAUUUUGUCCGGUAUCCUAAAAAUUCUGUCAGUUCAUCACCCUAUUCUCUGGCAAUAUUGUUGGUCAUAUUUGUCUUUAUUUGGUCAAACACUUCGCCUGUUUGGUAUUUAGUAACGAACCAUAUUCGAUUGCCAUUUGGUAAUGAUAUGUAAAAUGCAAGGGAAUUUUACAAUCCACUACAUGAGUGCUAUUUAACAAGUUAAUUCCUUAAAGUAAUGAAAUGCAAUGUCUCCAUCGAAAAAGCUUGCACUGAUAUUAAGUGUGUCCACUGAAAUAGUUAUUUGACGAAAUCCCUCGGAGAGACAAUUUCCCUUUCAUCUUAUUGUCAAAAGAGGAAAAUGGCGACGAUUGUGAUGACAAUGUAGUCAACAGUGGUGAUGAUCAUGUCCGUGAUGUUAAUAACGAUAAAGUUGAUGAUGAUAUCACAGUAAAAUAUCCAUUAUUCUCGACUUCAAAAUAUUUUAGCUCUUCUGUUAAUGGUUUUCAGACAGAAAAAGAAAGAAAGUGAAAACAAAUACAGUAAAAGAAAACAGAAAUAUCCAGUUUCAGUGUUGCAAAUCUAAUUGCAAUAUGUUGCAAAGAAAAAAAGAUGGACGAUAUCGAAGUCUGUAUAUCAAAGAGUGAUAUGAUAAUAGAUGAUGUAAAUGUUAAACACAUACGUUACACACACACAUACAUGCAUAUAAACAUGCAUACAUGUAUGCAUACGUACUUACGUACAUACGUGCGUAUGUAUAUCUAUACAUACAUACAUGCAUAUAUACAUGCAUGCAUACAUACAUACAUAAACACUUAUAUACGUAUAUGUAUGAAUAUAUACAUAUAUACAUGUAUAUAUUGUAUAUAUAUAUAUAUAUAUAUAUAUAUAUACAUGUAUAUACAUGUAUAUAUGUAUAUAUAUAUAUAUAUAUAUAUAUAUAUAUAUAUACGUGUGUGUGUGUAUAUACAUGCGUACACGUAUAUAUAAUUUUAUAUAUAAACGUUUGUAUAUAUAUAUAUGUGUGAGUGUGUUUAUGUAUAUGUGUGCUUGUAAAUAUGUGGGUAUGUGUGUGUGAGAGUGUCAUUGUAUAGAUAUCUGUACUGUACAAUACAUUUUGUACGUAUGUGUAUGCCGUCUUUUAUCGGUGAUUUCUAUUUAAUAAAGCUCGUUCUUUUCAAUACAUCCAUCGUAUUUCCGACUUUUAUCUUUCUUACACUCCCCUUCUAAGUCUAGCGUUCUUUCUCUCUCCCCUCUCUCCCCUUGCUUUGUCUAUCACACAGACACAGUUGCUCUCAAUCUCCACACAUUCUGCUUCUGUCAGAUUAUGAGGAUUGGCCAGUUCUUUGCUUCGUGAAGUUUCUCCGCAACGCAUGUUACUGCGCUGUGCAUAUCAAGGUUACUGCUUGAACAACAUUCAACUGUUAUCUGGAUAUGUGUUCCUAUCUACCUCUCUUUCAAGAAUAUUCUUAUCCUUCAAUUUGAUUUUCCUCGUUGUUUCCUUGUCUUAUUUUAUAUAUCAUCGUAUUCUGAUUGCUUUCUCUAUGAAAUAAAGCUGUCUUCUUUCAUUCCUUAUAUACCAAGAACUAUUGCUUAAAAUUCUACCUGAUUAUAAUCCACAAGAACUUAUCACCCCCUGCUCUCCUUUUGUUCUUCCCCGUUAACAUCACUUUUCAGGAGGGAUGUACUGUGUGUUAUCUGCUCAUUCCUAGUUUGCUAGUCCAAAGUAUGCGGUUCCUCCUCUCCCAACGUAUAACGCCUGCUCUCCAUCGCAACAGAGCGAUUUACCAUGUAUAAUAAUGGUAUUAUUAUUGUCAUUUCCACAGCUUCUAACACUGGAGAUGUACUACGGUGCCAGCUGUUUACUACCAGAGAACUAAUGUAACAUUUCUUAUUUUUCGAGCACCAUUCGGUGUACUCGACCGGUUCCAAGCAGUGCUCUUUUCUACAAGUGCUCCCUCCUUAUUGCAUCCCCUAUUUGUUCCAUGUACUUUUCAAGAAAUGUACUCACUGUUUCCAGGGCUCGAACAAUUAUUGGUACUACUACCACCUUUUUCAGCGACCCCAACUGCAUAACCUCCCACACUAACCUGUCAUCUCUACCGACUUUUUUCUUCCUGUCGCAUACCUUGUUGUCAGCUGGGCAUGCUAUAUCUAUAUAUAGCAUGCUAUAUCCAGCAUCGUUUGCUUUCUUUCUCAAUUAACACUAUGUCUGGCUUCCUAUUCUCAAUCUCAUGGUCGUACUAAAUCAUAAAUUCCCAUAGGAUUUUAGCAUUAUCAUUUUCGGGUUUAUGUUCGUACCAUAUAUUAUUAUUAUUAUUAUUAUUAUUAUUAUUAUUAUUAUUAUUAUUAUUAUUAUUAUUAUUAUUAUUAUUAUUAUUAUUAUUGAGUGAGAGAGCAGUUCAUGCCAUCAAAGUGACACUGGGGUAAAAUAUACGAAGCCCAAUAUACCCAUCAUGACUACCCGUCUGAUAAAGGCACACCAGGCACAUGCAUCACAACCAUAUGUGCGCGACAUGGUGAUCUCAUAUCAAGAUAAACAGCACAUGACCUUGCAGGUGGGGCCCAGUUAGAAUUUUCUUCAGGUUGAGUAGCCCAUCCCGCUCAAACGGUCCCUGAAUAAGGGUUGUUUAAGGAUGUUGAAAGAACCACCCAUGUUUCCAGAGGUGAAUUAUUCAAACCCCAAAGAAUCCCUCUCUACACAUGGCUAUGAUGCUCCCCCACUACUUCUGCUCGUGAUCAGAGAUGCACAUAUCGUCAGCCACUAAGGGACAUGCUCAACUGGUUAAGGUCAAACAACUGACAAGCAAAUCUGUGGUAUUGAGCAGAAUAUUUGCUGUAGCCCAUCUUUUAUACCAAGACAAAACAAUGUACAUGAUAACACUUCCAAUCAGUUAAGAUCAGAAGCCAUGAGAGCCAUUGCCUGGUACUGCAUCAGGGCAUUUAUGGUACUGCAUCAGGGCAUUUAUUAUUAUUAUUAUUAUUAUUAUUAUUAUUAUUAUUAUUAUCAUCAUUAUUAUUAUUAUUAUUAUUAUUAUUAUUAUUAUUAUUAUUAUUAUUAUUAUUAUUAUUAUUAUUAUUAUUAUUAUUAUCAUCAUUAUUAUUAUUAUUAUUAUUAUUAUUAUUAUUAUUAUUAUUAUUAUUAUUAUUAUUAUUAUUAUCAUCAUUAUUAUUAUUAUUAUUAUUAUUAUUAUUAUCAUUAUUAUUAUUAUUAUUAUUAUUAUUAUUAUUAUUAUUAUUAUUAUUAUUAUUAUUAUUAUUAUUAUUAUUAUCAUUAUUAUUAUUACUGAAGAUGUCGCACAGUAUCCAAUGUUGUGAGGCUAAAGAGUAAAGAUAUUGUGUGAACAGGGUGUUUGUACAGUCACUACAAGAAUCUCAGAUAAACAGUACUUUCUGCAGUUCGAUUUAAAACCGAUUUUGCAAUAAAUUAAUAUUUUAGGGUAUCCCUAAAGUACCCAGAUAUUUCUUCAAAUUAGCUGGUAUUGAUGCAAUCAGCAAAUUGGCUAAUUUUUAAAACAAUGUCUUCUGAAAAUUGUUUCAGGCGACGAGCUGGCAGAAUCGUUAGGACGGCGGGCAAAAUCCUUUAUGAUAUUUCGCCCUUCAUCAGGUUCUGAAUUCAAAUUCCGCAUUGUUUGAUUUUGCCUUUCGUCUCAUAGGAUGUUUAAUAAAAUAUAUUUGCAGUGAGCUAUAAAGAUUACUCACUAUCUCCUAAUAUUUCAGCCUGCAGUUAAAUGCUAGUUUGCAUAUGGUUACGUCUGAUCAAUUUAAUCUAAAAAAAACGUGUCAAUGUUCACAGAUGAACGAAAGCAUAGAAUAUAUGUUACAUGCUCUCAGAUACUCCAAUACCAAUAUAUAUACGGUAUAAAUGUACGUGAAAGGCAUAUAUAUUUAUCAAAAUAUGCAUAUAUACACAAAAAAUUACAUUUAUACUCUUAUAAACUUUUACACGUUUCAGUCAUUUGACUGCGGCCAUGCAUGUGUACCAUGUUUCAUAUAUAAACUCUUGUACCAUUCGUAUGAAUCUGAACUGAAUAGAAGGUGAUUUUAACACCUGAAUAUUGCUGGCAUGAGUACUGGACAGCGUAAUUGUAGAAUAGAAAUCUUAAACGUCCUUAUAAGAAUAUUCCUGCGCUUCAUUUCCGUUGUCUAUUCGCACAUUAAUAUUUUUCGGUCUAGAAGUAACAUCUGCUAUGUAUUUCGAAUAGUACGCAGUAUCUGGGAUUAGAAUAUAUUGAAACAUACUGCCGUCCAUUAAAAGGAAAGUUAUAUCAAUUACCUGGUUAAAGCAAAUUCAAUAGAUAUAGCUUCACCAUUCUACGUCUUUCCGUCGGUUUGUCAAUCUGUUUAAUUUCUACACAGUUCUCUCUCCCACUGUCUCAUUCUCACAAACAUACAUGCUACACCUGGUUUUGAGAUAUUCAGUGUUAUUUUAGCUGACACACAACGCUACACAAGCAUACCUACGUACAUAUGUGCGUACACCUAUCUAUCUAUAUGUCUAUCUAUAUAUCUAUCUAUCUAUCUAUCUAUCUAUCUAUCUAUCUAUAUCUAUAUAUCUAUAUAUCUAUAUAUCUAUAUAUCUAUCUAUCUAUCUAUCUAUCUAUCUAUCUAUCUAUCUAUCUAUCUAUCUAUCUAUCUAUCUAUCUAUCUAUCUAUCUAUCUAUCUACCUAUCUAUUUAUCCAACAACCUACCUAUAAAAUAGUCAUUCCAUUGCACAUAGAAAUACAGAACAAAGAGCUUGAAAACGAAAUGGGAUUCGUUUAGAUAUUUUUUAUUUAAAUUUUUUUAAGGCUGAACCAGCUUCACAUAUUUUCAAAUGUUGAGAUAGAGAGACGUGGAUCUAUGACAUAACUGCCUUGCUACUGACUGGAAAUCAAAAAUUCUCUUGUUUUUAUAGAGAGGACAUGGCUGAAAUUAGUUAAAAUAUUUUGGAUACUAUUUGAUUGGCCGAAGACGCUCACAGGAUCAAGCUUAUACAUUUUUUAAAGUUCCCUGCUACAUCCGUUCUUUAAUGUCACGUGACAAUAUAUCACACCGUAAGUCAAAGCUGUCACGGUUGAGUGAACGUGUUUGGUAACAGUCCCUGACAGUCAAGGCUAUCUGAAUUGAAUCUGUCACGUGUGGUAGAUGAUAUGUAUACACACAGAUAUAGUAAAUCAAAUUUUGAAUUAGAAGCAGCUCUAAUUCCGCAAAGUUCAUUGACACCACAUUCUUACCUGUGGAAUUUCUUCUUGGAGAAACCCUUUUAAGGCGUCAAGAGCUAAAAUAACACUGAAUAUCUCAAAACCAGGUGAAACGAAUCGCCCCGUAAACGAACGAGAACGGUGGCUAUAGAUAUUUCACUGUUAUUUCAGCUCAUCUGUGCCGUUCAUUUGAGUCACGUUCGAAACAAAUUCGAAUCCCUGGUCUGAGGUAUAUGUGCUAAUACCGUAAAGUCUGUCUGCUGAUGUCAAUCAGCAUCACACACGUAAAACAAAAUGAUAUUUUGAACUCUAAGGAGAUCAAAUUAUCGAUCUCCUUCUCGAAAUUUGGGGAUCGCGCAAAAACUUAUGAUAUGUAUACUAAAAGAAGCAGUCAGUAAUUCUUUAGUUUCAAAUCAAAUUAUUUCUAUCAUAGUUUGAUAGCUAUCUUUGUUGAUAGAUAAAUAUUGAUAUAGAAAUAUAUGUAAUGAGAAUGUAUUCCAUAAUACUAUUUGUGUAUAGGAAAUUUUGGGGUGUAUUUAGAUAAGAUUUUCUCUCAGACAUAGUUGUUUAUUAUUACGAGCAACUGAGGGAAUUUUGUGUGCUAAUCUAAUCGUUCCUCAUUCUGAAUUAUAUGGUUCAUAUUCAUAUUUUACGAGCACACGAAUACCGAGAAUGAAAUUAUGUAUGUGUAACUUAACACGUUUUGCCAACGUUGAGCGCGAAUAUGCUAUUUGCUGUUGGAGUCCGUUUUCUGAGAACAACCUUUCCCUUUAGGCGAGGUGUUUUGACGAUUCAUGCAUCACUGCGAUUUUACUGAACUCUGAUACACUUGUGUUUCAGUAUAAUUGCACAUCUUCACUCAAAAUCACAUAUUUCUCAUAACCAAUGGUUAAUAUGUUACCGUUUAGAAUUAGUCAUCUGGUAAAGCUUAUCAUCAAAAGAGACUACGAACCGCAAAAUUUACUGAGUUUGAUGUGUUAUAAAGAAAAAUUAAGACUCUAAAUAGUAUAUAUACCAAUCAAUCUAUUCAG
rnacentral:lncRNA from 1 species